UGGCUCAGGGACGCAUGCGUAAUGUCUCCGCGGUAAUUAAAGCAAUUUCCUCGGCCGGCGUGAGGGGACCCCAGUCCCUCGGGGUUAGCGUUCCUGUCACGUGGCCUUUGUCUCCUCCGCGCCCGAGCGGGGUCGCAGGCUCUCGAGCUCCUCCCGCUUCCCAUUGCCGGCUUCCCUCCGCUGCGCGACUCUCAGACGCAAGCGGCCGCCUCGGAGACCUUCCCUGACCAUUCUUGGUAGUCUCUCCCAGGGUAACGUGCUUGAGCUCCUUUGUUACACUUAUCGCUGUCUGCAGUUAACUCUGUUUCUGCUUUCCUCCGCCAAGUGUUUUAUUAUAUCCGUGUGCACACACUCCGCCCAGGCAAGCAUCUGUGACACGCCAGGCGCUGUGCUGCGGGCCAGGGCCAAAAUGAGUCUGUUUGGAACAACCUCGGGUUUUGGAUCUGGUGGGACCAGCAUGUUUGGCAGCACAACCACAGAUAAUCACAACCCUAUGAAGGUACCACAUACAGCUUCACAGGGUUUUUAGAAACAGCACAGGCCAGAGAAUCCCACAUCCGUGAUAGCAAGAGAAUCCCAGUUGGUGUGGGAGCCUCCUUUGAGGUGAACAUGCUGAAAUUUUGUUCAGCCUGCUUUCUCAAAUACUGGAGCAGAGGAACUGUGUGUCCCCUGGACUGGUGUCCUAUUUCCCCUAACAUUCCUAGUCACCAAAAUCACACGAGGUGCUUGUUAAGAU
rnacentral:lncRNA from 1 species